GUAGGGGGAUGGGGGUAGGUUGACCUCAGGUCUCCCCACUGGAAGACAGAGGUAGGGGGAGCGGGGGUAUGUUGACCUCAGGUCUCCCCACUGGAAGCCAGAGGUAGGGGGAUGGGGGUAGGUUGACCUCAGGUCUCCCCACUGGAAGACAGAGGUAGGGGGAGCAGGGGGUAUGUUGACCUCAGGUCUCCCCACUGGAAGCCAGAGGUAGGGGGAGCGGGGGUAGGUUGACCUCAGGUCUCCCCACUGGAAGCCAGAGGUAGGGGGAUGGGGGUAGGUUGACCUCAGGUCUCCCCACUAGAAGCCAGAGGUAGGGCUAGCGGGGGUAUGUUGACCUCAGGUCUCCCCACUGGAAGCCAGAGGUAGGGGGAGCGGGGGUAUGUUGACCUCAGGUCUCCCCACUAGAAGCCAGAGGUAGGGGGAGCGGGGGUAGGUUGACCUCAGGUCUCCCCACUGGAAGCCAGAGGUAGGGGGAGCGGGUAUAGGUUGACCUCAGGUCUCCCCACUGGAAGCCAGAGGUAGGGGGAGCGGGGAUAGGUUGACCUCAGGUCUCCCCACUAGAAGACAGAGGUAGGGGGAGCGGGGGUAGGUUGACCUCAGGUCUCCCCACUAGAAGCCAGAGGUAGGGGGAGUGGGGGUAGGUUGACCUCAGGUCUCCCCACUAGAAGCCAGAGGUAGGGGGAGUGGGGGUAGGUUGACCUCAGGUCUCCCCACUAGAAGACAGAGGUAGGGGAAGCGGGGGUAGGUUGACCUCAGGUCUCCUCACUAGAAGCCAGAGGUAGGGGGAGUGGGGGUAUGUUGACCUCAGGUCUCCCCACUGGAAGCCAGAGGUAGGGGGAGCGGGGGUAGGUUGACCUCAGGUCUCCCCACUAGAAGCCAGAGGUAGGGGGAGCGGGGGUAUGUUGACCUCAGGUCUCCCCACUAGAAGCCAGAGGUAGGGGGAGCGGGUUUAUGUUGACCUCAGGUCUCCCCACUGGAAGCCAGAGGUAGGGGGAGCAGGGGUAUGUUGACCUCAGGUCUCCCCACUGGAAGACAGAGGUAGGGGGAGCGGGGGUAUGUUGACCUCAGGUCUCCCCACUAGAAGCCAGAGGUAGGGGGAGCGGGGGUAUGUUGACCUCAGGUCUCCCCACUGGAAGACAGAGGUAGGGGGAGCGGGGGUAUGUUGACCUCAGGUCUCCCCACUGGAAGACAGAGGUAGGGGGAGCGAGGGUAUGUUGACCUCAGGUCUCCCCACUGGAAGACAGAGGUAGGGGGAGCGGGGGUAUAUUGACCUCAGGUCUCCCCACUAGAAGCCAGAGGUAGGGGGAGCGGGGGUAUGUUGACCUCAGGUCUCCCCACUAGAAGACAGAGGUAGGGGGAGCGGGGGUAUGUUGACCUCAGGUCUCCCCACUGGAAGACAGAGGUAGGGGGAGCAGGGUUAUGUUGACCUCAGGUCUCCCCACUGGAAGACAGAGGUAGGGGGAGCGGGGGUAUGUUGACCUCAGGUCUCCCCACUGGAAGACAGAGGUAGGGGGAGCAGGGGUAUGUUGACCUCAGGUCUCCCCACUGGAAGACAGAGGUAGGGGGAGCGGGGGUAGGUUGACCUCAGGUCUCCCCACUGGAAGACAGAGGUAGGGGGAGCGGGGUAUCUAUCAAAUAGAGCACCUCUAACUUUGUACAGUACUAAUGUAAUUAGUAAUGCAAUUAGUUGUGCAAUUUAGUUGUGUGUGUUUCUUGUUUGAAGUUCAAUAGUGUAAUAAUCAGGUUGCUAUUCUAUUUGUG
rnacentral:lncRNA from 1 species